UAUGCUGUCUGUCUUCUGCAGCUACAGUGAAAGGCCCAUGAAGGUGAAGAACUUCAGCUCUACCGGAAGGGGCGGGGGAAGCCACCCUUGGCUUCACUAACAAAGACCCCCAAGACAGGACCAGGUUCCGGGCCUCCAGCUCAGCCAGGCCCUCAGAGCCGGGCGGUGAGGUGAGCAGCCCCGAGCAGCGUGGUUCUCCCUGACGCCUCGCUCCCCAAGCUCCAUCUCCGUAAUUACGCUGGGACACACUUCUCAUUACAGGCAGCCCAAGAAACCACAAGCGAGCAAGAAGCUGGUUAAGCAAGAAAGAGAAAAGCAAAGGUUGACCUGGUUUGGCUAAAAUGGGAUCUUACCGGAGCCCUUCCCGGGCGGCAGUCUCACCGAGCAGCGCUCUCCAGGGCUCGGCACAGACGCCUUGUUUUCCCUCCUUCUUUUUUUUUAUUACAAUGAUUUUUAUUAUGAGUUCUGUCCUUUUUUUGAAUUGAGCAGAAUUACAAAGGGUGAGAAUUACUGCAAGAAUCUGAAUGUUGAGCACGAACAGAGCCCGAGGCGUUCAGCGUUCUCGGAGCCUCUCCUUGGAAGUGUGGGCUUGAACCUAACAAAUGAGCAUCCACGGAAGAUUUGAGGAGAGUGUGUGUUCAGCUUUCCAGAAAUCCAUGCAGCUCGGAGUGACCAUGUGAUGUAACUCUUGCCAAGGAGUUUCGCCCAGAAGUCUCCAGGAAGCAUGCCACUUCUUGAAUAAAACGACAAAGCCUGCCUGGAUAAAGGGGUGGUGCCCACAAGUUCCCCAACCACUUUUCUGCCUUGAGAGGAAAGUCACACCAGGAAGGAGAACAGGGAAGAUGGGGGUGGGGAGACCCUUGGUCCGGAUGGCACUGGCCUGGCCCGGCCCAGCAGCUGAGACCCUCCAGCUGCGACUUGCUGCGACGUGAGAGGCGAAGCCUGGACCUGCUGACGGCUCUGAUGGGCAUCUCCUUCCCGGACAGCUGGGCGCAGUCCUGGCUGUGAACUCCCGGCUCGGCCCACAGGGCAGAGGGGCAACGCUGGCUGUCGUUUUGAUCCUGGAAACCAGCAUGAGCAUCCCGUUCUAGACGCCCCACGGGACGGGGCUCAGAGCAGACGUUGGCUCUCAGGGCACAACGUCCAAUUUCACCUCAGCCCCGUGCUCCUGGGACACAGCCUCAUGGUCCAGGGACCCGCUCCCUGCAGUAUGACUCAGCGAGCACUCACGGAUGCCCCCGCAUACACCUGUGACUGGAUCAGACACGGCCCCUC